UACGGAGGAUGCAAGCGUUAUCCGGAAUGAUUGGGCGUAAAGCGUCCGCAGGUGGCUGUGUAAGUCUGCUGUCAAAGAGCGAAGCUCAACUUCGUAAAGGCAGUGGAAACUACACGGCUAGAGUGCGGAAGGGGCUACUGGAAUUCUCGGUGUAGCGGUGAAAUGCGUAGAUAUCGAGAGGAACACCUGCGGCGAAGGCGGGUAGCUGGGCCGACACUGACGCUGAUGCGCGAAAGCCAGGGGAGCGAACGGG
rnacentral:rRNA from 1 species